AACGAACGCUGGCGGCAUGCCUAACACAUGCAAGUCGAACGAGACCUUCGGGUCUAGUGGCGCACGGGUGCGUAACGCGUGGGAACCUGCCCUUAGGUUCGGAAUAACUCCCCGAAAGGGGUGCUAAUACCGGAUAAUGUCUUCGGACCAAAGAUUUAUCGCCUUUGGAUGGGCCCGCGUUGGAUUAGCUAGUUGGUAGGGUAAAAGCCUACCAAGGCGACGAUCCAUAGCUGGUCUGAGAGGAUGAUCAGCCACACUGGGACUGAGACACGGACCAGACUCCUACGGGAGGCAGCAGUGGGGAAUAUUGGACAAGGGGCGAAAGCCUGAUCCAGCAAUGCCGCGUGAGUGAUGAAGGCCUUAGGGUUGUAAAGCUCUUUUACCCGGGAUGAUAAUGACAGUACCGGGAGAAUAAGCUCCGGCUAACUACGUG
rnacentral:rRNA from 1 species